rnacentral:lncRNA from 1 species
GCCAUAUAAUUAGAUUAGAUAUCGUCACAAAUUAAGAGAAAGCCUAGUUGAUUUCCACCGACCGUCUGAAUGGUUUACACGUGUUGUUGCAGAGUUACGGUAAUCCAUUUUGAAUGGUGUCCACCGUCUAGCCUAGGCACCACAUCUACAAACAAAUUAAUUGAAAUCAUUUUAAUUAAAAACAUACAUACCCUGUAUACAAAUAAUUAUUCAUUAUAAUAAGAUGGAGAAAUAUAACGACGGUGGCUGCUGCCAUCAAGUCACCUUCAUAGACCAAGAUGGUCACCGGAAAACCUCAACAGUGCCGGUGGUCCAAGAACUUGCCCGCCAAGGGCUAACCCAAUUGCCGGAGAGGUUCAUACGUGCGCCCUCUAAGAAGAACCCAAUUGACGAUGACUCCCACAGUUCAGGCGUCUCACCAAAGGCACUUCCUGUGAUAAACGUGGCUAAAUUAAGGGCAAAAUGGUCAGAUCCCGAGGGUCGAGCUGAAGAGCUAGCCAAGCUAGCCAGUGGUGUUAGAGACUGGGGCUUGUGUUUGAUUACGGAACAUGGCAUAAGCUCUUGUGUUUUGCAUGGAGUUAAGGACGUUGUGAAAUCAUUUUUUGGAUUGUCUUUUGAAGAGAAAAAACAGACCGUUGGAUCGUAUGGGAAGAUUGAUAAUAUGGGAUAUGGCCGGAAUUUUGUGAAGUCGGAAGAUCAGCCGUUGGAUUGGAUUGAUCGUUUGACCAUGAAGGCAGCUCCUGUGGGAGGAGAUGAAGGGCUCAAUGUUUGGCCUCAGAAACCAGAGAAUUUUAGGUACGUUAACUAAACACCUACUUAUUUAUUUAUUUUUGCUGUUUGUUUUCAAUUAAUUUUGUGAUGAACAAACAAACUCAUCAUUAACAAAUUCAAUCCAACCAUCAUUUUGCUGUCUUAAGCUUAUCGUAAAGAGCAAUUUCAGGGGGAAAAAAAUAAAAAGAAUAAUGAUACAGUCAUAAAUUAUUGUUUAAAUUUAUUUUGUACAAACUGACGUGGCACUAAUUUAUUAGUUGAAUAAAAAUAUAAAAUAAUAAAAACAAAUCAUGUGACUCAAAUAAUAUUUAAUUCAACCAAUCUUAUCAUACCACAUAAAUUUAUACAAAAUAAAUUUAUACAAAAAUUUGUGCCUAUAUCAUUUCUCAAAUAAAAAAUAACAAAUAGAAAACUAAAUCGUCGAGGACAAAUGUGACAUAAAUAUUUACAUUUUCAAGAGUCAUUUUCUAACCUGGAUUUGGCAUUAUUAUCAGAAGUCAACUUUUAAUUUUAGCAUCGGGAGACGAAACAAGUCUAAAAUGGCUAACGAUUUUGACAUCAAAGCGCCAGUGGAAGAUUACUUUUUCCUAUCUUGUCACAUUAUAUUAAACUCUCUUAAUUAAAAUAAUUGAAAUACCUUUAUGGCUUGGCUCAUUGCUCAACCACAUUAUGUGGAUGAGUCAAUGUACGCGAACUGAUGCAGAUUUAAGGAAAAAAAUAAACUAAAAUAACAUCAACACCAGGAUAGUCAAUUCCACAUAAGGUUACGUACGUAUAUAUGGUUGUUUGUAUUUUUUUUAUGCGAACAUACUUAAUAUUAUAGGGUUUAAAAAAUUUAAUUUUUAACACUUUUAAACUCUAUAGUUGAAGAACGUGUUUAUAUUAAAAAAAU